rnacentral:rRNA from 1 species
AGCAUGAAGCCGGAAUCGCUAGUAAUCGUAGAUCAGCCAUGCUACGGUGAAUACGUUCCCGGGUCUUGUACUCACCGCCCGUCACACCAUGGGAGUUGAUUUCACUCGAAGCCGGAAUACUAAACUAGUUACCGUCCACAGUGGAAUCAGCGACUGGGGUGAAGUCGUAACAAGGUAACCGUAGGAGAACCUGCGGUUGGAUCACCUCCUUU